UCAAAAGUAUUGCGGUAACAGAUCUAAAAAUAAUAAGCGUAAAUAAAAGAAAAUGAAAGACUCUUAAAAUUAUAACGCACAAAAAUUAAAAAUAGGUGCAAAGUCAUUUAGAAAAACAAACAACGCGGUCACGGGUCGAAAAAUAAUAAGCGCAAAUUCCAAAUGUAAACCCAUUACAAAUUAUAUUGCACAAAAUGGAAACACGAAUUCAGCAUUUUUCGAGUCACAAACAAAAUCAGGUUUUCCGCUCAUAUUUAAAUUUUUUGUGUGCUUAUGCUCCUUUCCCUUUUGCUCACGUUCUCAUGUUUUGCGCUUGCGUUUCAAAACUUUGCCGACAGAGUUUGAUGUAAAUUAGGGCGGGCUUCAGUGUCACUAUUGGUUAACUAGUCCGAAUUGACAGCUGCUCCUCUAGCCAAUCAGUCAAAGGGGGAGAUUACGUCACUCCAGCGCGACCCAUGACUUCUGUGGAUAACUCGUACAGGUGUGAAGAUGAAUAGCCCCCGUCAGCUGGCAAAUGCUGGACAGUCUCAGGGCCUUUCCUAGCAUGUUUCGAAGACAUGCAAUCUGUGGGAAAAAAAGAAUACAUUUAGCAUCCCGAACACAUACCAAGCCUGCAAAAGCAUUUAAACCUUAUGAUUUAAAUGUGUAUCUCCUGGAUAAAAAUUCUGAGACCACCCCUUCACCUUCACAUGAACUCAAGCUUGUGCAAGCAGGGCUUGGCAAAAGGACAAUCUCAAUUACAAUGGACAUGACACAUUCAUAGUUUUCCAGCUUACUGUAUGAAGCAUUCCCAAAACUGGAGGGUUUGAGUGGAGGAUGGAUGCUUUAUAAGGCUACUGGUGACUUUACAAUUUUUCUUUAUUAUCACUUAAGUCAGUAUGUAUUUGGUUAUAGAAAAAUGUCAUGUUAAUUCUAUCUUUGUUUAUAGGGGGGUGUGGUGUAAGGCGGCUAAACAUUAUUCCUCCAGACUCAGAAGGUUACACUGGAUCCCAAAUCAAAACUGCCUCUGCAUCUGGAAAGACAAUGCUGUAUGUAGUUCCUCUGCAAGAGGAACUGGACCUUAAUCCUCUCCCUAAUGAUGCCAGAGAAUUCAAAAAAAUGCCAAAGGCUACUUGCCAAAUGUGCAAUAAAAGCAUGCCCCUGCAGGUGCUGGCUCUCCACAUUCAGGUUUGCAAGUCACAUGAUUCAGCAUCUUUAAAUGAAGAGGUAAUGGAGUAAUGCUGUUUAAUUAUUUGCUGAUUUCAUGAUGUAUUUCGACUAAAUGUUUAAUUUUUAUUAAUUUAACAUUCCACAUUGAUUUUAUAUUAGAUCUAGAACUGUGUUCAAACCUUCAAAAGAAUACCAAAUGAUUUCAGUGUAUGUUUGUCAGUAGAUUGCUAAUCACAUACUUAUGAUGAAGCGCUUUGUAUGAUAUGCUUUUAAUUUCUUUGUUGUUGGAGAAGACAGAAGUCCAGUUUGUCUCAGAAAGCAAUUUGGAUGAGAUGAAACAAGAAAAUUCUCCAUCUGAGUUUGUUUUACCAUGCCCAAUAUGUCAGCUGAAGUUUCCUGUGGACAAUCUUGAACUGCAUGCCAGCCUUUGUGGAGAACAAAAUCUAUUGGAGUCUUUUUUACACGAUGAUCCUUGUAUUACUGAUGAUACGACAGGCAAUUCAAGCUCUCAACAAGUAUUAUGUCUAGAGGGUCUUCUGGAGCUGCUUGCUAGCCGAGUAAAUGCAGAAAACCACUUUCGCAUUUGUGUCUUACGGGACAAUCUCCUAGAGAGGGGGCUCAAGCAGUGGCAAAGACAAAAAAAAGGAAAUCCAGUCAACCAGCUAAAGGUAACCUUCAUUGGCGA